CAGUUUCAAUUUAUGGUUCAUUGAAGGUUUUAAUGUUAGAUCUGGUGCCUGUUGGGUUUUUUUUUUUGGUGGUUGAAGGAGAUUGAAACUGAUUUUUCAAGUGUUUUCAGACCUGUAAUAGCAAAGGUCAUGGCUCAUGCCCAAUUGUAUCUCGUUCUUGAUUAUUUGAGGAGGUGGAAGGAUUUGGUUUGGGGUUUUGGACAGAGGACCAUUUGAGGAAGAUUGAUGACUUUGAGAAGAUCAAGCAACAAUUGGCAUAGUGCUUGGGAAUUCCACCAUAUUAGAUCAUAGUCCCUAUCCCACAAUGUUAAAGAUCAUGACCACAAAACUUGGAAUUACAAAGGCAUAGUACACAUGCAUUUUUCCAGUCGAAA